UUGCUUUGGCAGCAUAUAUACUAAAAUGAGAAUGAUACUAAGAAGAUUAGCAUGAUUCCUGCACAAAAUGACACCCAAAUUCAUGAAGUGUUCCAUAUUUUU
ensembl:snRNA U6 U6 spliceosomal RNA